CUUGUUCUUUUCUAUGACUUCUAUUUUGGAAAAGGUACAGGCGGAACGAAAAUUGAGUCCAGUCUUUGGUACCGGAAGUUUUGGGGAAGUAGAUCGAUGUUACUUCACUCGUUGGGGAGCAGUCAAAUAAUUUUGUUCUCAAAUUAUUCUGCGCUUUUACAUACGUAUAUUUAUAGCCAUGGAUGCAUGUGGACUAUCUAAAGACGUCAAUGAUCCAGUUCUCAGUCUUUCUUCUCUGCACCUCCUGGUUCCACCCUUGAGGCUCCUGUCUGCUGCCAUGUGGCAGGUGGCUCAGCAAAGAGAUGUGAGGCACUAUGAGAAGUUGGAGGAGUUUGUGACUCUGGUGACAGAGGCCAUUCCAGAGCUGCUGAGCCACAGACAUAGAGCUCAGCUCAUUCUAGGUCUGAGAGCACGGUUGGUUCUGGAGCUGUGCCGAGGCCCUGCCGACCCUCAAACCAUCCAACCUUACCUGGACAGCAUGCCCACUGUUACUCCAGGAUGCACAGGAUACAGAGACGCAGAGGUGGAAGCAUCUGAAUCAAAUUUUGUGGUGCUUGUCCAAUCACUGCUGAAGGACCCAGUCGAGAGGGAGUGCUUCUUUCAGGAGGUGUUCCCGGAACAAUAUGGCCGACAUUAUGACACAGCGGUGCAGACGUUAACAUGGGAGUUCCUCUCCAGACUGGAACAACUGUUUCCAGUACCAGAUCUCAAGCAGACCGCGACAUGGCUCAGCUCUGCCCCUUCAGUCCUGGAGGAGUGUAUGCAGUCUACCCCAGAAAAUCUGAACCUCAUUCUCCAGCACCAUAAGAGUUUUGGACAUUUAAAAGAACCUUCUGCUCUCUCCUCCUCCAUGGGCGACAGCAUCCUCUCCUCUCUGUCCACCCCUAAAAUGGUGGUCACCACUGAGCCGACCACUUUUGUCAUCCGGUCAGAGUCGUCACAUAACUCUGCAGACGUGCUGGGCCCCAUGUCUUUAGUGGACACUGAUGCGGUAGUAGUAACAGUUUACACUGAAGUCGAGGUUGGAACAGAGGUGGAAGAAGAGAUUGUAGAGACGAUGAACGAGGAAUACGUACCGUCAAACGCCUCUCCACUGCGGGAGGAGGUGGUUGAACUUAAAGCUGAGGAUAUGAAUCUGGAGAUGACAGUCGUUGAAGAAUAUGGCUACGUGGGGGAGGAGAUGAGUGCGGCCGAGGAAGAGAUGGACACAGUGAGUGAGCAAGCAGAUGAAGCCGUUAAUAUCAGUGAAGACAUUGGAACUGGGACAGAGACUGUAGCAGUCAAAAAAGAUGUCCAAGAUGAGGUGGUGGCAGAUCAGGACGGCCAAUCAGAGACUGUGAUUGUAUGUGGGAACCAGGAAGGGAAGGACACGUCCCAUGUGGUCAACUUUCAAACCCAACAACCUGCGACGUCAAAUGUGAGGCGGUCUACACGGCUGCAGUCGAAGACGCCAAGAACUUGGAGGAGGAAAAAGAAGACUGAGAACAAGAACAACGGUGAGGCCUCAAGCAUGGUUUAUGUCAACUCACCCAGGGGAAGAGAAGCCGGUGGAUCUGACAAGGUGACCCCCUUUACCUGCCCGAAGUGUGCCUACCACAGUCUGGAGGAAAAGAGCCUUCACCUCCACAUGCAAAGCAUUCACACAGAGGAGUACAAUAAGCCCAAUGUGUCUGGGAAAAACAGAGCAGAGGUUUCACUAUGUCCUGACAACACUGGCCAGAUAUUCACAUCAAUCAAACCUCUCCUUUCUUCAAAAACUUUAAUAACUGAAAACUCUGAGAAUCAAACCGGUAAUGCUGGGAUUCCCACGAAAACAAAAGGCUACCAUAAGUCCCACACAUGCGCCACGUGCGGUAGGCUCUUCACUCGCUCCUCCGAUGUGAGGAGACACCAGCUCACACACACGGGUGAGAGACCUUUCCACUGCUCUCAAUGCGACAGGACCUUCCAGCAUUCGUGGGACCUGACCAAGCAUGAGAAGAAACAUGGUGGGACAUCCAUCACUUUCCCCUGCCAGCAGUGCGGGAGCUCCUUUGCCAACCUCCGCUCUCUGACAGCCCACCACAGAAGUUCCCACCUGGGCGAGAGCGACCUGCCCCACCUCUGCUCUAUCUGUGGCAAGAGCUUCCCCUCCUCCUCUGAGUUGCUGGAGCACAGGAAGAGCCACGGGACCAGCCUCCAGUACAUCUGCCAGCAGUGUGGCGAAAGCUUCCACUCCCUGCUGGCUCGCUCCCAACACCGGCAGACCCACCUGGUCAAGCGGCAGUUCAAGUGCCCGCACUGCGACAAGAGCUAUACGCGCAAAGCUGAUGUGAAGAGGCACAUGUUCUCCCACAGCGGCGAGCGACCGCACCAGUGCAACCAGUGUGGGAGAUGCUUUUCCUUCCUCUUCCUGCUCAAGAAACACCAAAUAGUUCACACGGGCGAGAGGCCUUUCCAGUGCUCCUACUGUCCCAAGAGGUUCACAUUGAUAUCCAUCCUGAGCAGACAUGAGAGAAUGCACACCGGGGAGAGACCCUUCCUCUGCUCUCAGUGUGGGAAGAGCUUUCUGUCCCAGGGGGAGCUGUCCAAGCACCACCGCUCCCACACUGAUGAGAGACCGUACGCUUGCAAUCAGUGUGACAAGAGGUUUAAGAGCAAAAAAUCCCAACAGGAACAUAUCAUCUCCCACACCGGCGUGCGCCCUUACCCUUGCUCUUACUGUGGGAAAGGAUUCACCAAACCAUACGCUCUGACCAGGCACCAUCUCAUACACACAGGGGAAAGACCAUUCCCCUGCGUCCACUGUGGGAAGACAUUUCUCACCCCCGCAGAGGUACAACUACACAUCCGCAUUCACACCGGGGAACGCCCUUACCCCUGCCCUGAUUGUCAGCUGAAGUUUAGGAGUUCGUCAGACUUGGCACGACACAAACGCUUUCAUACAGGGGUGCAGACAUUUGUCUGUAACCAGUGUAUGAAAAACUUUCCCACCUCGUCCAAACUGAAGAAACACAUGGAGAACCACUCGGGGUCAGAGGCAGUCCAGAGCUCAGACUUUGGAGAAAAUUCCAACCAAGCGUGAAGUAAGGGCAGCAGCACAAUUGCAAAAAUGGCAGACAAUUAAAGUAAAUUUACCUUCACAGCUAUUAUAUUCUACAAUGUCUCUGUCAAGGAAGGUCUUUCAACACCAUUAGAGCUCUAUGUUAUCUUGUCAGUCUGACUCGUGGCCAUUGAAACAUAGCUGUCAAUUAUUAUUUUGUCUGUCCAAAGGGGGUUGCAACUCAAUCAUGUCCUUGACUUAUUUUAUUGUAAAACUAAAUCAGCGCUAUGAUCAUCCAAUUAGUCAAUCUGUAGCUGGUCUAUUAGAAGAGCUAGUAAAUUAAAAUGUUUGUCAAUAACUUUUGAAGAAUGUCAAAGAUUAGUAAAAUGUUCUGUUACGGUAAUGAACCAGCCUUAGGUGGAUGCCAACUUGUCUCCUUGUCUUUAAAGUUCCCAGCACAAUACAUGUAUUUUGUUCUACUUUGUAGCCCUCUGUCUCUGACACACAUACCAGUAAUUAAAAUGAAAUCAAUUGGGCGGGGGGAACAGGUUAGUCCCAUGUAGAGGAAACAAUAGGCUUUGGGUAGCUUUGUGCAGAAGAUCUGUUGGAUGCCGGUUAAAUCAUUCCUAGGUGAAACUAUCCGAUGCAUUUCCGAUGACAGGUCCUUUGUGACGCGCAGUAAUUCCAGGAUCACUUCCGGAUUGCUUGUCGUUCGUGGCUACAAGCAUGUUAUUAACUGGUUUACAAUUAGUAAAACAUUCGUAGACAAAGCAAACGUAGUGUUCACAACAUUAUUUGCUACAAUCUAGCGUUCAGGAAGGAACCGAUGCAUUAAAUCCCGUCGUCUAACGGGAUCCUCCAUCUAACUUUUGUAACAACAGUCAGCAUUCGGCCCACGCGACAAAAUGGACUCGGAAUUUUCGUCAGCGGACAAUGCAGGUCUCCCUCUCCUCUCCCUCUGCCUCUUGGUUCCACCCAUUCAGCUUAUGUCCGCGUCCAUAUGGCAGGUGGUGCAACAGCGAGAUGCCAUGAAUUAUGCAAUGCUGGCAGAGUUUGUCUCCCUGGUGACAGAGAUGGUCCCUGAGUUGCUGAUCUAUAGGCACAGGGCCCAACUUAUUUUGGGAUUGCGAGCAAGGGUGAGUGUUACAACCCUAAUGAAUGAGUGUAUAGGCAUAGAUAGAGCCCUUAUGUAUUCCUUUGAGAAUCCGAGAGUGGAAGAUGUAGUUUCGUGUAGACACACUCAUUUCAAAACAGUCCUUUUAGAAUCCGAGAGUGGAAGAUGUAGUUUCGUGUAGACACACUCAUUUCAAAACAGUCCUUUUACAAGACAGAAUGUUGAAUAACUUCAUUUAGACAAACUUUACCUGUUGUCUGCUGAUUUUUAUCCUUAUGUCGGAGGUAAUCGGGGAGAAAAUAUCCACAGGGAAGUGUUAUUAGCUCGACUUUCAGUUCUCCGUAUCGUUUUCAAUACUGAUGCAUGGGACAUAAACACGUGCACAAUAUCUAAACAAUGGCCAAGCGUGACCAAACGUUGACAACUUUUCAUUUGUAGUAUAUCACAUGCGCUUCCAGGUGAUUGCGAAGGGGACAUGCUUCGGUCGACAACGUUUGGUUAGGUUCGGCUAUUGUUUGCAUAUUGUGCAUCAUGUGCAAUGAGUCAGGAGAUAGAAAAUACAAACUGUGGAAAUAUUAUCUUUAUUUUCUACUGCCAAAAGGACAACAGCACGGACAACCGGUAAAUUGAGUGUAAAUGUCCUUUUAUUCAACAUUCUGGCUUGUAGAGACUACUGCAUAUUUUUUAGGGCGACUUUUUCAGACUGAAAAGCCAUGGGGUGACCAUGGUAACAGUCUGACGUACUAUAACUAUAUAACUAAUGAAUAACGGCGCAUGGGGUAUGUGUUAUUGCAGCACAUUCUGGAGUUGUGUCGCAGUGAGCAUCCUGUAGAACCUCAGGUCAUCUUAACCCAGCUGUACAUGAUUCAACCACUUACCCACUUCAGUAAUGAUGUAAGUUGAUCGUCAAUGAAUACCUUCUUCCUGGAGGAGUAGACUGGAGUGAAAUGCACUGCUAUAGAUACACUGUAUGUUGGACAAAUGUGUCCUUAUUUGAUGUAUCCUACAGGUAAGUGACACAGAGGUGGAGUCGUCAGAGACUCAUUUUCUGGAGCUGGUCCAGACCCUGCUUAAAGACCCUGAUGAGAGAGAGCAUUUUUUCACAGUGAGACUUUACAGAUCACAUGUUCUCUUUGCAUUGGAUUUACAGGUCAAUGAAGUAAAGUGUUUUGCAUUGCAUUUACCUGUAUAUUAAAUCAUGUGGAGGGGUUUUCUUCCUCAUCUGUGUCCCUCAGGAGAUAUUCCCAGUGGAGUAUGGACCACAAUAUGACAUCGAGCUGCAGACUCUACUGUGGGAGUUCCUGUCCAGAUUGGUUCAACUGUUACCGACCCCUGACCUCGCACAGACAAUGGCAUGGCUCGGUACUGCCCCCUCAGUCUUGGAUGAUUGUGCCCAUGUUAUAUCUCAUCCAGCAGAUCUGAAGAGUCUUCUCCAGCACCAUAAACGUCUUGGACAUUUGGAGCAACAUGUACCCCCCUGCGCCAUGGGCGACUGCAUCCUGUCCUCUCUCUCCAUCCCGCCACACAGUAGAACCAUGAUCAGCACUGAGCAGACCACCUGUGACAACCAGUCAGAAUCCUUGGAGGAGUUUGUGGAUGACUUCGAGGUGGAAAUUGUAACUCUGACCGAUUAUGAAGAGGUUGAAUUUGGUUUGAGUCAGGAGGAGGUGGAGGAUGGGAACGAUGACGAAGGACAGACCAUGGAGGACAAGGAAGAAGAGCCUAAAGAAACGCCCGCUGAAGAAGUGGAGAAAGAGGAGAAAGUGAUGGAGGACCAUGAAGAGGGGGACUUGGAGAGCAACUCGCAUCUAGAAGAAGCCGAGAAUGACCCAGCAUCCUCCCAUCACCAAACAUCCUCUGGGCCCCACAUUUGCUCAGUCUGUGAGAAGAGCUUCAAGUUUGCCUCUGCACUAAUAGCCCAUCAGGUCAUCCAUACAGGAGAGCGCCCGUAUGUGUGCCAUCUGUGCGGACGGUGUUUCUCCUUCAGGCAGUCUCUGGACAGGCACAAACAGACACAUAAGGAUGGGCGCGUUUACGACUGUUUAAUCUGUGGGGAGACCUUUCAGUCCUUGUCAGCCCGCACAGAGCACAAGAAGAGCCAUAUGGAGCAAGGCGCUUACCAGUGCUCACAGUGCCACAGGAAGUUCAACUGGGCGUCGGCCAUGGUGAGACACCUGAAGGCUCACACAGAGGGCACUGAGGUCAAAACGCAGGAACUUACAAAAAGCCUGAAGUCUGAGAAAGAGGAUAUAGAGAUUGUAGGAGAGGUGGCUAUUGAACCCCCUGAAACAGACCCGGUGUUGGAGGAUGGAGGGAAAUCCUGUCACAAUCCACAGGAAGGAGCGGGUCAGUCCACCUCAUCUGAGCCUGCCGUGUUGGUGCCUGGACUUCUGGACAAGGUUGUAACACUUGUCAAGGUCCGUACCAGUGGUAGGAAAACCAAACCGACCUUGAAGGUGCAGAUGGUGAACCUGCAGAAGCUCAAGGGAAAGGUUUCCACCCCAAAGAGGACGGAUGGAAGCUUGAUGAACCCCCAGGGUUUCACACCAUUGCAUUUUAAGAGGUAAAGUAGAUCGAUGCAGACAUUUUAAGGUUAAAUAACAAGUUUGGUAUUUUAAGUGAAAAAUAAGAUGUAACUCAACUGUCUUCUCAUGGCAUUAAUGCUUGCUCUAGGCGGGCAAUUCCACGGUAACAGAGUGACACUGAGACUGAUGUUUUUACUUUAAAAUGUAUGUCAAACAGAAAACUAAGUUUAUUAACAGACAGCACAAACUGUCAUUCUGUUACCAAACUACAGUUUUUCAAGUAAAUGUAUCCUUGUACAAUUCUCUGUGGAAAUUGUUCAAUGUUGUCCUUGUGCAUAGUUGUAUGGUUUGUUUAACUUCGCAAUCAUUGGUGUUUGUUUGACAUACAUUUUAAAGUGAAAAAUCUGAGUCUGUCACUCUGUUACCUUGGAAUUGCCCUCUACCUGUUUAUCUUCAACAGUGAGGAACACUCCUAUGGCUCACCAGUGGUCUCAACAAAGGAAGGAGAUACAGGGUGGUGUCCAUUCGUCAACUCAGACGAGGCGUCCGUCCAGCAGCACAUUGAGACGAACCACUCGGGGGAAGUGCAGGAAGACGCUCCGUCUGCUCCGCACCAAACAGGCCAAGCUGGACACUAUGAUUGCCCAGACUGUAACAGCAGCUACAAGUUUCAGUCCUUACUGAAAUACCAUCGGCGUGUCCACACCGGCGAGCGCCCAUACGUGUGCCCUCAGUGCGGACGCCGCUUCUCCUUCAAGCAGUCACUGGAGAGGCACGGACAGACACACAAGGAUGGGCGCAAGCAUGACUGUCUGAUCUGUGGGCAGAACUUCAAGUCCUUGUCAGCGUACACAGAGCACAAGAAGAACCACAUGGAGAACGGUGUGUAUCGGUGUUCGGAAUGCGACCGGCGGUUCUCCUGGAAGUCUGCGCUGGUCAGACACCUCCGGACUCACACGGAGAACGCCACCGAGGCUGAGCUCUCUUACAAAUGCCCAAGGUGUGACUUGGGAUUCAGCAGUAGUACGUACCUUAACAGGCACCUGCUCACACACCAAGAGGAGAGGUUGCAUGUCUGCAGCUGUGGCAAGAACUUUGCCUACAAGGCUGCUCUGACCGCACACCAGCGCACCCACCUGAAAGAGAGGCCACACCAGUGCAAGCAGUGUGGAAAGGGUUUCCUCUACAAGGGAGGGCUGGUAAGUCACAUGAAGAUCCACUCCGAAGAAAUGCCUUUCAUGUGCUCAUUCUGUGGGAAGAGCUUCAAGAGGGAGAGGAACAUGAAGAAACACGAACGCUGCCACACCAGGGAGAACGUGUUCAGCUGCUCGCAGUGCGACAAGACCUUUGUGUACAAGGCCACACUGACCAGGCACGAGCUAACCCACUCGGGGGAGAGACCGUUCCUGUGCUCCGAUUGUGGCAAAGGGUUUUUCUCCCAUGCGGAGCUUCUAAAGCAUGAGCGCUUCCACACGGGCCACAAGCCGUUCCAGUGCUCCCACUGCGGGAAGCAGUUCACCCAGUCCUGCUACCUGACCAUUCACCUGCGCUACCACACAGGGGUACGGCCUUACUCCUGCACCCAUUGUGACAAGAGCUUUCUCAGCGCCAACCGCCUAAAGAGACACCUGAGAACCCACACAGGAGAGAAACCCUACCUGUGUUCAGAGUGUGGCAAAGGAUUCAAACAGUCAUAUCACCUCAAGAUGCACCAGCAGACUCAUGCCACCAAGAUUUACUGAGGCAUGAUUGUGUCUCUGUCCAGAUUUCAGUCAAAUGAUUUGGUAGAAUGUAAUGGUGAGUUAGCUGUCGACUGUAGACAACCAUGAGUGUUAAAAUAUAAAUACUGAAUAAUAAUAUAAAUUCAACAUGCAACAAAUUCAAAGAUUUUAGUGAGUUACAUUUCAUAUAAGGAAAUCAUUCAAUUGAAAUAAAUUCAUUAGGCCCUAAUCUAUGGAUUUCACAUGACUGGGGAGGGGUGCAGCCAUGGGUGGGCCUGGGAGGGCUUAGGACCACCCACUGGGGAGCCAGGACCAGCCAGUCAGAAUGAGUUUAUCCUCUCAAAAGGGCUUUAUUACAGACAGAAAUACUCCUCCGAUUCAUCAGCUGUCUGGGUGGCUGGUCUCAAAUGAUCCCGCAGGUGAAGAAGCUGGAUGUGGAGGUCCUGGGCUGGCGUGGUCUGCGGUUGUGAGACCACCAACAGCUCUGCCAACAGCUCUGGUGGGCAUUCCUGUAGUCAGCAUACCAAUUGCACGUUCCCUCAACUUGACGCCUCAUCUGUGGCAUUGUGUUGUGACAAAACAUUUUAAAGUGGCCUUUUAUGGUCCCCAGCACAAGGUGCACCUGUGAUCUCUCAUCAGAUCCUUGGGCUCCCGAGUGGCACAGCGGUCUAAGGCGUUGCAUCUCAGUGCUAGAGGCGUCAUUACAGACCCUGAUUCGAUCUCAGGCUGUAUCACAACCGGCCGUGAUCGGCAGUCCCAUAAGGUGGCGGACAAUUGGGCCAGCGUCUUCUGGGUUAGGGGAGUUUGGCUAUCAUUGUAAAAUAAGAAUUUGGUCUUUACUGACUUGCCUAGUUAAAUAAUUAUCAUGCUGUUUAAUCAGCUUCUUGAUAUGUCACACCUGUCAGGUGGAUGUAUUAUUUUGGCACGGUAGAAAUGCUCCCUAACAUAGACAUAAACAUUUUUGUGCAUUAAAAUUGAGAGAAAGAAGCUUUUUGUGAGUAUGAAACAUACCUGGGAUUUUUUAUUUCAGCACAUGAUUUCACAUUUAUAUUUUUGUUCAGUAUAUUAGUGAUAAUUCCUAAUCUAUAGAUUCAUGAAAUGCAUUUGAAUUCUUUCUGGCUUUCCUCAGCUGAAAUACUGUGUCAUAGUUACUCAUCAAGGCACAUACAGCUCUUCUGUGAGCUGAAUCACUCAUGUGACACAACUUUGGCCUGGAUUUAAUCUGUAGAGCCCUGGCUGCAAUUAAUCCUGGACAAAAUGUUGUUUUUGGUUGAUUAUCACAAUGUAGAAGUACUAAAAGAAUUGUGUCUAGUACAUUGUGUUUUAUGUGUCUAGUACAUUGUGUUUUCAGAGUUGUAGCUCAAAUGAGUUUAAUGAAGAGACUUCAAUGAACAAUA